rnacentral:rRNA from 1 species
GACGAACGCUGGCGGCGUGCUUAACACAUGCAAGUCGAACGGAAAGGCCCUGCUUUUGUGGGGUGCUCGAGUGGCGAACGGGUGAGUAACACGUGAGUAACCUGCCCUUGACUUUGGGAUAACUUCAGGAAACUGGGGCUAAUACCGGAUAGGAGCUCCUGCUGCAUGGUGGGGGUUGGAAAGUUUGGGCGGUUGGGGAUGGACUCGCGGCUUAUCAGCUUGUGGGUGGGGUAGUGGCUUACCAAGGCUUGGACGGGUAGCCUGCCUGAGGGGGUGACCGGCCACAUCGGGACUGAGAUACGGCCCAGCCUCGUACGGGAGGCAGCAGUGCGGUAUAUUGCACAAUGGGCGGAAGCCUGAUGCAGUAACGCCGCGUGCGGGAUGACGGCAUUCGGGUUGGAAACCGCUUUCGCAUGUGACGAAGCGUGAGUGACGGUAAUGGGUAAAGAAGCACCGGCUAAAUACGUG